rnacentral:rRNA from 1 species
AUUGAACGCUGGCGGCAUGCUUUACACAUGCAAGUCGAACGGUAACAGGCCUUCGGGCGCUGACGAGUGGCGAACGGGUGAGUAAUGCAUCGGAACGUGCCCAGUCGUGGGGGAUAACGCAGCGAAAGCUGUGCUAAUACCGCAUACGAUCUGUGGAUGAAAGCGGGGGACCUUCGGGCCUCGCGCGAUUGGAGCGGCCGAUGUCAGAUUAGGUAGUUGGUGGGGUAAAGGCCCACCAAGCCGACGAUCUGUAGCUGGUCUGAGAGGACGACCAGCCACACUGGGACUGAGACACGGCCCAGACUCCUACGGGAGGCAGCAGUGGGGAAUUUUGGACAAUGGGCGCAAGCCUGAUCCAGCAAUGCCGCGUGCAGGAAGAAGGCCUUCGGGUUGUAAACUGCUUUUGUACGGAGCGAAAAGGCUCCCUCUAAUACAGGGGGCUCAUGACGGUACCGUAAGAAUAAGCACCGGCUAACUACGUGCCAGCAGCCGCCGUAA